UACGUAGGGUGCAAGCGUUGUCCGGAAUUAUUGGGCGUAAAGAGCUCGUAGGCGGUCUGUCGCGUCGGAUGUGAAAACCCAGGGCUCAACCCUGGGCCUGCAUUCGAUACGGGCAGACUAGAGUUCGGUAGGGGAGACUGGAAUUCCUGGUGUAGCGGUGAAAUGCGCAGAUAUCAGGAGGAACACCGGUGGCGAAGGCGACCACCUGGACUGAUACUGACACUGAGGUGCGAAAGCGUGGGGAGCAAACAGG
rnacentral:rRNA from 1 species